GAUGAACGCUAGCGGCAGGCCUAACACAUGCAAGUCGAGGGGCAUCAUGGCGUAGCAAUACGAUGGUGGCGACCGGCGCACGGGUGAGUAACACGUAUGCAACCUGCCUGUAAGAGGGGGAUAACCCGGAGAAAUUCGGACUAAUACCGCAUAAUACCACGAGACUGCAUGGUUUUGUGGUUAAACAUUUAUGGCUUACAGAUGGGCAUGCGUAUGAUUAGAUAGUUGGUAGGGUAACGGCCUACCAAGUCUACGAUCAUUAGGGGUUCUGAGAGGAAGGUCCCCCACACUGGUACUGAGACACGGACCAAACUCCUACGGGAGGCAGCAGUGAGGAAUAUUGGUCAAUGGGCGGAAGCCUGAACCAGCCAAGUAGCGUGCAGGAUGACGGCCCUAUGGGUUGUAAACUGCUUUUAUACAGGAAUAAAGUUAGCCACGUGUGGUUAUUUGUAGGUACUGUAUGAAUAAGGACCGGCUAAUUCCGUGCCAGCAGCCGCGGUAAA
rnacentral:rRNA from 1 species